rnacentral:rRNA from 1 species
UACGGGGGGAGCAAGCGUUGUUCGGAUUUACUGGGCGUAAAGGGCGCGUAGGCGGUCAGCACAAGUCAGUUGUGAAAUCUCCGGGCUUAACUCGGAAAGGUCAACUGAUACUGUGCGACUAGAGUGCAGAAGGGGCAACUGGAAUUCUCGGUGUAGCGGUGAAAUGCGUAGAUAUCGAGAGGAACACCUGCGGCGAAGGCGGGUUGCUGGGCUGACACUGACGCUGAUGCGCGAAAGCCAGGGGAGCAAAGCGGG